GAUGAACGCUGGCGGCGUGCCUAACACAUGCAAGUCGAGCGAAAGGACGGUAAGCUCGCUUUUCUGCUGUUGGCGACGGGCGGGUGAGUAACGCGUGGAUAACAUUCCUCUUAGACUGGGGUAACUUCGGGGGACAGGAGCUGCUACUAGCUCAUAUUUUGAACCGGAUGGUUCAAAAGUGAUUGAGGGUUUUGCUGAUACUAAUAGCUGGAUCCGGGUUGGAUUAGCUAGUUGGUAAGGUAACGGCCUACCAAGGCGACGAUGCAUAGCUGACCUGAGAGGGUGAUCGGCCACACUGGAACUGAGACACGGUCCAGACUCCUACGGGAGGCAGCAGUAGGGAAUCUUGCGCAAUGGGCGAAAGCCUGACGGAGCCACGCCGCGUGGGUGAUGAAGGUCUUCGGGUCGUAAAACUCUUUUAUUAGGGAAGAACAUAUGCGUAAGUAACUGUGCAUAUCUUGACGGUACCUAAACAGAAAGCCCCGGCUAACUACGUG
rnacentral:rRNA from 1 species